rnacentral:rRNA from 1 species
GACGAACGCUGGCGGCGUGCUUAACACAUGCAAGUCGAACGGUGAAGCGCUUUCCUUUUUGGUGGGUGUGGAUGAGUGGCGAACGGGUGAGUAACACGUGAGUAACCUGCGCCCUUCUUCUGGAUAACCGCAUGAAAGCGUGGCUAAUACGGGAUAUUCUGGGUCUGUCGCAUGAUGGGUCUGGGACAGAUAUUGUUUCGGUGGGGGAUGGGCACGUGGCCUAUCAGCUUGUUGGUGGGUUGAUGGCCUACCAAGGCGAUGAGGGGUAGCCGGCUUGGGGGGGUUGGCGGGCCGACUGGGGAGGGGGAACGGCCACGACUGCUACGGGAGGCAGCCGGAGCGAAUACGGGACAAUGGAGGGAAGGAUAAUGCAGCGGCGAGGCGUCUGGGAUGGAGGCCCUCGGGUUGUGAAACUCUUUCGCUAGUGAAGCAGGCCUGCCUCGUAUGUGGGUGGAGUGACGGUAUCUGGAUAAGAAGCGCCGGCUAACUACGUG